UUAAGUCCCGCAACGAGCGCAACCCCUAUCCCUAGUUGCCACCAGUUCGGCUGGGCACUCUAGGGAGACUGCCCGCGCAAGCGGUGAGGAAGGUGGGGAUGACGUCAAGUCAUCAUGGCCCUUAUGUCCAGGGCUACACACGUGAUACAAUGGACGGUACAAUGGGCGAAGCCGCGAGGCGGAGGUAAUCCCAAAAGCCGUCCUCAGUUCGGAUUGGAGUCUGCAACUCGACUCCAUGAAGGUGGAAUCGCUAGUAAUCGCGCAUCAGCACGGCGCGGUGAAUACGUUCCCGGGCCUUGUACACACCGCCCGUCAAGCCAUGGGAGCUGGGGGCGCCCGAAGCCGCACGCAAGUGCGUCGAAGGCGAAACCAGUGACUGGGGCU
rnacentral:rRNA from 1 species